rnacentral:rRNA from 1 species
AAUAGAUACCCGGGUAGUCCACGCCGUAAACGAUGAGUGCUAAGUGUUAGAGGGUUUCCGCCCUUUAGUGCUGCAGCUAACGCAUUAAGCACUCCGCCUGGGGAGUACGGUCGCAAGACUGAAACUCAAAGGAAUUGACGGGGGCCCGCACAAGCGGUGGAGCAUGUGGUUUAAUUCGAAGCAACGCGAAGAACCUUACCAGGUCUUGACAUCCCACUGACCGGUAUAGAGAUAUACCUUUCCCUUCGGGGACAGUGGUGACAGGUGAUGCAUGGUUGUCGUCAGCUCGUGUCGUGAGAUGUUGGGUUAAGUCCCGCAACGAGCGCAACCCUUGAUCUUAGUUGCCAGCAUUUAGUUGGGCACUCUAAGGUGACUGCCGGUGACAAACCGGAGGAAGGUGGGGAUGACGUCAAAUCAUCAUGCCCCUUAUGACCUGGGCUACACACGUGCUACAAUGGAUGGUACAAAGGGCUGCAAGACUGCGAAGUCAAGCCAAUCCCAUAAAACCAUUCUCAGUUCGGAUUGCAGG